CGUCGUCGGAUCCACCCAAGGGACUUCGUAGGGGCCAGUCUUGUUGACCGCCAAGUACAUCCCCAGGACCUUGUCUGCUUCCUUGUUCCCGACUUGGCACACCCGCAGGAAGCCUGCCGACCUCCCUUUCGUUCGAGAGGGAAGCGGAUUCGGGUAGAUCUUGAGGCUUUCCCGGUCUACCCAGUGUUCGUCGCCCUCACCUGAGUC
rnacentral:misc_RNA from 1 species